AUUGAACGCUGGCGGCAGGCCUAACACAUGCAAGUCGAGCGAGCGGCGGACGGGUGAGGAAUGUAUGGGGACUGCCCGAUAGAGGGGGAUAACUGCUGGAAACGGUAGCUAAUACCGCAUACUCUAGGAUAACCCAUAUGGGAUUAGCGAGUAGGUUAGGUAAUGGCUCACCCAGGCGACGAUCCCUAGCUGGUCUGAGAGGAUGAUCAGCCACACUGGGACGGAGACACGGCCCAGACGCCUACGGAGGCAGCAGUGGGGAAUAUUGCACAAUGGGCGCAAGCCUGAUGCAGCCAUGCCGCGUGUAUGAAGAAGGCCCUAGGGUUGUAAAGUACUUUCAGUCGGGAGGCGUGACCGACAGAAGAAGCACCGGCUAACUCCGUGCCAGCAGCCGCGGUAAUAC
rnacentral:rRNA from 1 species